GGUAACUUCGGGCCACAGGCAGCGGUAAUAGGUAGGGGGGAAGCGUUGUUCGGAAUCAUUGGGCGUAAAGCGCGUGUAGGCGGUUAGUUAAGUCGAUUGUGAAAUCCCUGGGCUCAACCGAGGAAGUGCAGUUGAAACUAACUAGCUAGAGGACGGCAGAGGAAGGUGGAAUUCCAAGUGUAGAGGUGAAAUUCGUAGAUAUUUGGAGGAAUACCGGCGGCGAAGGCGGCCUUCUGGACCGGUCCUGACGCUGAGACGCGAAAGCGUGGGGAGCAAACAGGAUUAGAUACCCGAGUAGUC
rnacentral:rRNA from 1 species